rnacentral:lncRNA from 1 species
GCAUCAAAACGUUUUGCAUUCAUUUUGUGUUACUAUCACAAUUCUUUCAGGCAUGUAGAGGUAAUAGCUAAUGGGAGCUGUACACAACUGCUGAGUCAGAAGAGGACAGAAAACGCAUUCGUUUUAGAGCUGAGUCAAGUCCACAGAUGAACUGGCACAUUGGGUAAAUAUAUCUGACAGUUACUUUUCAUAACUAACUGAUCAUACACACCGAACUGUUCAAUUCCAGAUGACAAUCCAGGGAUUUGUCCUAUAUAAUUGCUUAUAUACAGACUCUGUGUGAACUUUGUGAGGAGA